CCAAGCCUAAUUAGAAAAUACUGUAUGCAGAAUUCUGACAUCAAAUCUUAUAACAAAGAUGUUUCUCUGUUUUUGCAUAAAAAAAUCAAACAAGUUUGUGAAACGUGUCAUGCAGCGAUAUGCAUCAGCAAAAGUUGAGUUAACUGCAAGAUCAGUGAGUAGGAGAUCGGAUGGUUCAUUUUGUGUGGAGAGUGCAAAGUCCAAAAACUGUAAUUAUGUUGUAACUUUUGAUAUACGAGAUUGCACAUGUGAAGAUUUUCGGAGAUAUAAAUACCCAUGCAAGUAUUUCUGUGCAAUCUUUAUUUUUUACCCAGAGUGGAGUUUUGAUAAAAUGCCAGAAAGUUAUAAGACUAGUCCAUUAAUCUGUCUUGAUGAAAUGUAUGGGGUGGGCUUUAGAAGUGGCUCUUCAGUAAUUUCAUAUGAAGGCAGUAGUAGUGACGAAGCUGUUGAGGAGGCAGUUAAGGCAUCUGAGGAGGCUGUCGAGGCAUCAAAUACAGAUGGUCUAGUUCAAACCCAGAAUAUUCCUAUGCAGCAGUUUGCAGCAAGGGAGUUGUGUAAACAGAUCUAUAAUCUCACAUACAACUGCAGCAACAGUGAAAAAUUACAGAAAGUACAUGAAUCACUGAGCAACUGUGUGCAAGAUUUGCAAUUAGCAAAUCCUGAAGUUGGUGGUCUCCCAUUAGCAGUGCCAUCAACUUCCAAACAAUAGCAAAGAACGAUGUCAAAAGCCUUACAAGAUCUGUCUUAAACACAUUAAAACUUACCAUUUGAAGGGUGAGAAAUGACUGUUUGUUUCAAUUUUAGAUAGCUCUUUGUCUAUGUAAAAUACAAAUAAGCUCAGUCAUUUCUUAUCCUCGAGAUGGAAUGCUAUGAGGUCUUUAUGUUGGUCUCCGAUUUUAAACUUUGAUGCAAAUUUGAAUUUCGAAGUAGCAAUAGAUGAAAUAUUAUAAAAAGGAUAGUUGCUACAUGUGUGUGUGUGUGAGUGAGUGAGUGAGUGAGUGAGUGCACGCGCGCGCUUUUGAAAAGGCCCUUGUUGCCCGAAAGAUAAGUCCGACAAUCUUUUUGUUGUGCCUUUGUGACUCAGCAUCUUCACUAUUUGGUGAGCAGCAACAACUAUCCUUUUCAUAAUAUUGUUACAUUCCAUCCUGGAUUUUUCACUGUUCAUCAGAGAAAAGAUUUUUCUGAGGAAUUAAACUAGAUGGUAGUGUAGAACUUGCGAGCUUUUUAAAAUAUGAAGUAAAAGAUUUUAACUUUAAAUUAGGUUAAUUCAAAUAUGGGACAAUGUUGGGAGUUGAAAAGGUGGAAAAAAUAAAUAAGAUAUAUCUUAGUGGCAUUGAGAUGACAUAUGAGUGAUGGAGGAAAGAUUUUGCAUUUCUUUUUCCAAGUAAGAAUGCACUUGCUCUCACUUGCUUCAAUACAUGUAUAGUGAUUCAUGUGAAACAGAGAAAAAGAUAAAGACUGCCCUGUUAAUGAACACGUGAGAUUGCCCAGUAUCACUUUGACAGAAGAGUAUAGUGUUUCCUUGAUGUGGAAUCUGGUCAGCAACAUCAUUGGGACCAAUGAAAUACCACGCAGAAGCAAUUACUGUUACUGGAAUACCAGUAAUGUUCAUUAAAUUCAGUUCUAAAGUAGUUUUGGGCAUUGCACCUGGUGAGCAAUGUCAUCGGGCAGCAAAAGAAGUUCAGUUAUGAUGGAUUUCUGGCCUUCAGUCCAUGGGAAACUUCACACCAAGAUUGCAUCAAGACUGUUAUACUCCAAGGAUAUCUUGGAAGAUUGAUAGUAUUCCUGAAGGAAAACAAUCCAUAUAGUGUUUCACGUGUGUAUCAAACUGCCAUUUGUUGUGGCACAUAAAUGUUUCCAACUUCACUGUAAUUUGUGAACAGUUUCUCAACAAUCCAAGAAUUUCUUGUAAUUAGAAGUAGACAUUGUUGCUUGGUUAAAAGAAGUACCUUAUUAACUUUCCACAGAGAAAUAUUUUUCACUACUGCUACUUAAAAAUUCAAAUGUGUGACAGUUUGCUUACAGAACUUGGCAUAAAGAUCUCCCUUACUUGUAUUUUUAGAUAGCUCUUAUUGUUUGAUCCUUCAAAUGGAAUGCUAUGACCUCCAUGUGAUCUAUUCCUUAAUAGUUAAUUAUCCAUUAAGGCACAAAUAUAUGAACAUUACAAUGAGAGAGGUCUUUAUGCCAGGCCCUGUAAAAGUAAUGGCAUCUUACUUAAUAUUAUUGUUGGCAUUUGAUGGCACAGCUGUUUGGAGACCACAAAUUUGAGGGUUUGCUAACUGCAAAUCUAGCACACAGUUGCUGAGUGAUUAAGUACUUUUCAUAAUGUUUUACUGUUGACACAGUUGUAUGUGAGAUUAUAAACCUGUUUGAACAACACCUUCACUUCAAAUUGCUGCAAAGAAAUGGUUAAGGUAUCAGUUGAUGCUCUAUGUGUGUUUCCUCAACUGUGUCCUCAUUGCUACUGUCUUCAUGCGAAAUUACUGCAGACACACUUCUGAAACCAAACCUGUACAUCUCGUGAAGACAGAUUAAUUGGCUAUUCCUGUGGCUUUCUAGUAUUUUAUCAAAACCCCACUCUGGAUAGAAAAUAAAGAUUGCACAGAACUGUUUGCAUGGGUAUUUAUAUAUCUCAAAAUCUUCACAUGCGCAGUUUGGUAGAGCAAAGCUUACAACAUAAUUACAGUCUUUGAACAUCGUACUCUCCAUACAAAACAUUGUCCAACUUCACAUUCACUAAUCUUGCAGUUAACUCAACUUUCCCUGGUGCAUAUCACUGCAUGGAAUGUUUCACAAACUUGCUUGAAAAAAGAAAAUGAAAAAGAAAAAACAGUGGAACAUCUCUGCAGAAUUCUGCAAUCAAAUAAUUACAGACAGUACUUUCUGAUUAGGCUUGGAAGAAAUUGAUUUCUUAUACCCAUAGUAGCCCCAUUCAAGGUCCCAUCUGUAUUCCCUUUUAGGAAAAAAAAUGUUUACAAUCUUGUUCAUGGCUUCAACUUCACUUGUCAAUGGUAUCAAAAUUGCCCUUGUCCUCAUAAGCUUCCAUUCUCUUUUCAUGUACCAGUAGCCACUGCUGUUAAACGUACGGUGAUGCAUAUUCAUUUCUCUGAGAAGCCUCACUAUCUCUUCUGUAUGAUCUGUAAAUUCUCUGUUUGUGAUUCUGAAAUUUCUUGCCCCAUGCCCAGAAAUCUCUUCAUGUCAUUUGGUAUAUAUUCAGCCAUCUUCCUCAAACCUGUUUCAGACUGAAAAGGCACAAGUAAACUUUUGUGUGAGGGGAAAUGCUUGAUGAGUUGUGUUUAUCUCAGACUGUUGAGAAAUCAGUAACCCAGUAGAUGGGAUUCCAAUCCUUGAAAAUGGCUAGUGCUUCAUGAAUGGAUCUCGCAUUUCAAACCUUGAAUGAAAAAGAAAACCAAAUAACCCACAUUACUCUUUGCAGCUAUAAAAAAAAAGAAAGGCAUAUCAUGUGUUGUUGUUUUGUAUGUUGCAUAUAACAACUAUCCCUGUACUUCUUCAAAAGUGAUGGUUUCACUCCUCCAUUGGCACCUAUGCCAUGUUUGUAAUAAAUCAUGUGAUUGCUUUAUUCCUUGUGCCGCUCGUCAGCAUGAUCCUGCAAUCUAGUCUCGCCAAACAAUGCUUUAUUUGUACAUUACAAGGUCCAAUAUGUAUGAAUAUAAUUUUUUUCAAUGGGGUAAAAUGUAGUAUUCAUUAGACCUGGUGUGUGUGUCCCAGUGAAAUUAUCAAUAAAUGUAUCUAGAGCCAAAUUAUUGGCUGUAUGAUGUCAUUCCAUCAUGCACCUGAAUUUGUAUUUCCUUUACAAGCUAUUGUUAGCAUGUGUGUGUGCUGAUUUGCUGGAGAAGCAGAGAGAUAGUCUUUCAGCUAUCUUUGAGACAGUUAAAGGAGGUGCUUUAGAAAGGAGUGUCCUGAUUGAUAUGAAAAACAGUUUUCAAAUUUUCUGUGCAAACUGCAAACAGUUCCUCAGUUGGUGACUGUGGAAAAGAUUGCCAUAGCCACAGUAUUGAUCCACUGUCAGGUGGUAAACCUAGGAUUUCCUUCCAGUAUGAGCCAAGUGAAGUAAAACCGUGGAUGGAGAAAUGUUUUAUAUUCUUAAACUGAGUAUUUAUAACCCAUUAUGUUGGAUUGCAGUUCAUGUGUCAACACUUAAAAAUGUUUAGUUCUUCGCUGAUGACACUGAUACAAUUUCAAUUUUUUAAGGCUAUUCUGUGUCAAGUUAAAUUUUGAAUUAUCCAUUUAAGCUUAUUUUUUGCUGUGUGGCAGAUGGAUUUAUGUUCAUGUAAUAUUUUUAACAUUGAUUGUGGUAAGGUGUAAUCAUAUGUAAAUGCCCAAUAAAAUGUGUGUGUGUGUGUGUGUGUGUGUGUGUGUAAAAGAUAUUAUAAUUUCAUGGGAAAUCUGGCAGUAACAAUUCAGAAAUUGUGUGCAGAAUAUACCUAACUAUCAACACCUGUAAGCAGCUAAAGGUCUGGAUUUCAUUAUUUCAUUCUUAGAGAGCUGCAAGAUCACCAAUGGUAUCUGUACAGAUACCAGCUUCAUAUAAAUUAGUAAAGUUUUUACUGACUAUUAUUCACCUAAGCCGAAAAUAAGGCUUCAUUCAGUAGUAGUACUACAUAAUGGUGAUACUUCAGUACAACUUUGAACCCUUUAACUGGCUGAGUUCAGCAGGAGCAAAGUAUAUUCUUCAAGUUACGUUUCACAUGCAACUACAAAGCCUUUGCCUUGAAUGUCAUGUGAUUUUGCACUCUGCUGCUAAGUUUUCCUUUUAGAGUUGUUAUAUUUCUUAAAGAGGCUUCUGUUACAAAAACUAGCAAUCCACAUAGGUAACAUGUGUGACUGAUAUUCCUUAUGUAUCACAACCUUAUUUCAGUUUCACUCUGUUGUUGCUGGUAACUGUUAUGAUGGAAGAGUUGAUUUGUGCCACAUUAAGAAAGAUUAAGAAAAAAGUCAUUUACAAACUCUUGAAAAGGAGGCAGGGUUCCCCAAAAGUGUUAAGGUUGCCAUAAGCAGUCACUUUCGUUGGAUUAAGGUCUUUCCAUAUCCUUUCUGGAUAUUUCAGCCAGCUGCAUCCUAUUGUAGAGAUAGACUAACCAAAAACCUUAGUGUUAUAUGAAUAGAACAGAAAAAACUUUAUUAAAUGCACAAAGGACUGGUAAGUACCUUCAUGUAUGGACCACUUUCAAAAAAAUACACUGUGUCUGUGACAUGAAAAGUGUAUGUAUGUUUAAAGGGGUGGUGUUCCUGUUGCAGAGGAAUUAAUUUAGUGUACAAUCCUUACUGUGAUUUGUAUUAUCAAUGUUUUGAGGGGAAUGGAAAUAUUAAAGUAAUGGUAUACAA